GCCAGUACUGGUGAAGUCCCUUCUGUGAACCACACAACAGAAGCUGCUGUCUCUGUCACUGCUUCCCACUGGCAAGCAGCCUAAGCAGGAGCUGCCUAAAGGUUGUGCCUGCUAAGUGUUGAAGAAGUGCACAGCUCCAUCCUCUUUGCCCCUCUUGCUGAGGCCAGGGAAACUGUGGUGACUGAGGAUGGAACACCUGGCAGACCUCCUUUUGGCAGCUGGAUGGGAGGGAAAUGCCACCAGAAAGGAAGGAUUCCUGAGGCAAGGUUCAAGUUGCAUUUGAAGGGAACACAAGAGCUGUGCAAGACACACAUCACCACCACCACAGAGCUGUGUUUGGGGAAAUGAGGAGCUGAGCAGAUCCUUUUUUAUUUCCACU